GAUGAAGAACGCAGUGAAAUGCGAUAAGUAAUGUGAAUUGCAGAAUUCAGUGAAUCAUCGAAUCUUUGAACGCAUCUUGCGCUCCUUGGUAUUCCGAGGAGCAUGCCUGUUUGAGUGUCAUUUAACUUCUCAACCACAUUGGAUAUUUUUUUUCCGAUGCCGGCUUGGAAGUGGGGGUUGUUUGCAGGCUUUUUGUAACAAAAAAGGUCGGCUCCCCUGAAAUGUAUUAGUGGUAUCUGAGGCUAUUACUAUUAGGUGUGAUAAUUAUCUAUGCCUUUUGGGUAUGCCGCAUGAACAGAUUAUGCUGCUUCUAACGAAAACUAUUUUGAUGAAUUUGACCUCAAAUCAGGUAGGACUACCCGCUGAACUUAAGCAUAUCAAUAAGCGGAGGA
rnacentral:misc_RNA from 1 species